AUACGGAGGGUGCAAGCGUUAUUCGGAAUCACUGGGCGUAAAGGGUGCGUAGGCGGUUUGAUACGUCUGAUGUGAAAUCCUAUGGCUCAACCAUAGAACUGCAUUGGAAACUGUCAGACUAGAAUACUGAAGGGGCAGAUGGAAUUAGUGGUGUAGGGGUAAAAUCCGUAGAUAUCACUAGGAAUACCGAAAGCGAAAGCGAUCUGCUGGGAAGUUAUUGACGCUGAGGCACGAAAGCGUGGGGAGCAAACGGGAUUAGAAACCCUAGUAGUCC
rnacentral:rRNA from 1 species